UACAGAGGGUGCGAGCGUUAAUCGGAUUUACUGGGCGUAAAGCGUGCGUAGGCGGCUGAUUAAGUCGGAUGUGAAAUCCCUGAGCUUAACUUAGGAAUUGCAUUCGAUACUGGUCAGCCAGAGUAUGGGAGAGGAUGGUAGAAUUCCAGGUGUAGCGGUGAAAUGCGUAGAGAUCUGGAGGAAUACCGAUGGCGAAGGCAGCCAUCUGGCCUAAUACUGACGCUGAGGCACGAAAGCAUGGGGAGCAAACAGG
rnacentral:rRNA from 1 species